AAGACGCCGAGGGAGGACUGAGGCGGGCCUCACCCCAGACAGAGGGCCCCCAAUAAUCCAGCGCUGCCUCUGCUGCCGGGCCUGGACCACCCUGCAGGGGAAGACUUCUCAGGCUGAGUCGCCACCACCUCACCCCGCCACCCCCCGCCGCUUUAACCGCAGGGAACUCUGGCAUCUCAGGGAGUUGAUGACCUUGUUUUCAGAAGGUGACUCAGGUCAACACAGGGGCCCCCAUCUGGUCGACAGAUGCAGUGGUUCUAGGAUCUGCCAAGCAUCCAGGCCUGUGGGUCUUCAUUGCCCAGCUCCUGCCCGCACUCCUGCCUGCUGCCCUGACCAGAGUCAUCAUGCCUCUUGAGCAGAGGAGUCAGCACUGCAAGCCUGAAGAAGGCCUUGAGGCCCGAGGAGAGGCCCUGGGCCUGGUGGGUGCGCAGGCUCCUGCUACUGA
rnacentral:lncRNA from 1 species